GCCGGUCGUCGACCACCGCACCGGUCUCCGAUUUCUGGCACCGGCACCGCCUUAUGCGGUGGCCGAAAAAGGGAGAAUCUAAGAUACGGUCCCUCCGAAGCCUCUAAAAGUAAAUCCGGGCUCAAAACCCUCAAAGUAUUCGUAGAAACACCUCAAAAGCCCAAGAGACCUUUCGAUCUCCGACCGUCUUUCCUCGGAGACGGUUCCUCGGCCGUUCACGGCGAUCAGGGCUGAAAAACCAGGUUAUUUCUUCCCUCCUAUAUUAUUUAUUAAAAAUAAACACAUAUAACAGAAAAAUAAAAUAAAAUAAAAUAGGGCUACAAGUAUCAACCUUUAACCGAUUAUUCUCUCUGUAUUGCGCAAAUAAAAGUCUCUAUUUUUAUUUCAUUUUCGAAUUUCUUUUUUGGUACAGUGUUCUUAAUGGCUUUUUAUAGCCGAAAUAAGAAUAAAAAGAAAUCUAAAGAAAAUCUGUUUGAUCUGCAAAUUUUUUAUUCUCUUUCCUUUUGUUGUUUGUUUCCUUGCAGGUGAAGAUCGCGGAGAUUCAGAGGACUUGUCUUGCGGCGCUGUUGAAGGUUAGAAACCUUAGGGUUUCUUCAUCUAUUUUGGGCCGCGUUUGUAACUGGGCCACCGUUUGAAAUCGGGUCAUGUAUUUUGUCUUGUAAUUGGGCUUGUAGAAACUGGACUUUAUUUGUUUAUUGUGGGCCGGGUAAAAAUUUGGGUAUUACGUAGUCCUUUUUGUUGUUUUGUUCAUUUUCUUAUUAAAAUUAAUAUAUUUGAUAUUAUCGUUGUUAGUAUUAAUUAUUAUUUUGUUAUUUGCUCA
rnacentral:lncRNA from 1 species